GAUUCAUUUUCUCAGUAACGUAGCUAACGCGGUGAAGUUGACCGCCCUGGGGAGUACGGUCGCAAGAUUAAAACUCAAAGGAAUUGACGGGGACCCGCACAAGCGGUGGAUGAUGUGGAUUAAUUCGAUGCAACGCGAAAAACCUUACCUACCCUUGACAUGCCACUAACGAAGCAGAGAUGCAUUAGGUGCCCGAAAGGGAAAGUGGACACAGGUGCUGCAUGGCUGUCGUCAGCUCGUGUCGUGAGAUGUUGGGUUAAGUCCCGCAACGAGCGCAACCCUUGUCUCUAGUUGCUACGCAAGAGCACUCUAGAGAGACUGCCGGUGACAAACCGGAGGAAGGUGGGGAUGACGUCAAGUCCUCAUGGCCCUUAUGGGUAGGGCUUCACACGUCAUACAAUGGUGCGUACAGAGGGUUGCCAACCCGCGAGGGGGGAGCUAAUCCCAGAAAACGCAUCGUAGUCCGGAUCGUAGUCUGCAACUCGACUACGUGAAGCUGGAAUCGCUAGUAAUCGCGGAUCAGCAUGCCGCGGUGAAUA
rnacentral:rRNA from 1 species